GUGGUGAUCAGUCUUUCCAUAAGAGAGUUAUCUUCUGAUGGCGUCAUUGUUCUCUUUAUCAACAGUCGAGGCGUUCUGGAAAGAAUAAACAGACGAUUAAUCAUCGUGAUUCAUGAAGACACCAUUUGGAUGAUGUUUAUGUACAUUGAGAAUUACAGUAUCCUCGAAAAUUAGCCAAUUCUUAGAAAUGUACUUAUGGUUACAAAAUUUAUAAUGAUUAAGAUGUACCAAAUUUGUAGCUAAUUCAUAAUGAUAAUAAUUGCGAAGACAGGUUUCGUUCGUAACUGUGCUAGUAACACGAGUAUGUCUGUGAAUAUCAAAUAUGAAGAUAUCGAAUCAGGAGAUGAUUAAGUGCCUCUUGAAAUUGUUUAAUUACAGAACUCGAUAUGAACAUCAAUUACAUGUACACCAGACAGUAUUUGAACGAACAAUACAAGCAUUCUGUAAUAUUAUCAUCGCUCUUUAUUUGGAAUGUGCAGAUGCUACGAAAAACUUGCUUCACACAGACAGUUAUUGAAUUACCACCGUGAUUACAUGAAAUCAACAUCAGCUAACACUUUAGUGUCAGAUAAGAUUAUAAUUGUGCACACGUUUUAAAAGUAGUACGUUCAUAUCAAAGGGAACAGAGAGCCAUCCCUUAUCAUGACACGUGUGUAAUUUCUAACAUGAUGAAGAUACGGAUGUUCAAGUUUCGAGGUUUGACAGAGAUGAAUACGUUUCAAAUUCCUACUGUAUAAAGUUUCUUCAGUCUACCGUAUGAUUAGAUAUGAGUCAUGCGAGACUCGAGUACAUUUGAAUGUUUGAAAUUUCAGUUAUUUUGCAAAGAAUCUUCGACAUUCCAUGCACGCCGUUCACGAUACAGAAACGUAUUCCAGGAAAGCUAGCUUUUAAAAUAAAGUUUCAUUUGAGGACUUGAACGACUGAUGGAUCAUGGUCCCAAUAUAACAAGAUUGCAUCAUCUGGGGUGAACGCAUUAAGAAUAAAAAUUUUUAAGGGCAAUGGUGCUAUGCUUAAGCGAGCUCCUUUCACGUUCGCUUUCGACGAAAACCAAGUGGCUUGAAUGAUCGUUAAAAACAGGAACAGUAAAAAGGAGAGGCAGGAAUGGAUGGUACUACGUAGUACCGGAUCUUGGGUGCAGUGAAAGUAUGUUUGCAAUGCCCCUUUGAAAAACCCAAGAGGGGAGAAAUGACUUUUGCGUUUAUCCAAGGUAAACUACAACCGUUUGAGAUAGCCAGCAAUCAAAUUGGAGUCAAAUUGAAGUUUGACUACUUAAACAACUUAAAACAUUAAUCUUCGAUCGAUAUCUCAUGUUCGAAAAAUAUAUAAUUCUGAUGUUAUCUAUAACAAGAUUAGGAAUCUACAUAUAACAAGAACUCACGUUUGGAAUGCGCCCCCUUUUUGUUGGAUCUAACGUUCAGGGAAGAAAGAAGCAAUUAUGGUUGGCAGCGAAAUGCUGUAACGUUUGACGACUGGAAGAAACUAAGAUCACUGGUUGGUCGGCCAAUGUAUCCACCACUUGUAUACGUAUUUGCGAAACCUGUUUCGUUCGACAUUAUCGUCCAAAUCUGGACGCAGAGAAUCCAGAUCGGCAAUACACUAGAUCAGAGGAUUUAAGGUUGAAAUAAGUGUGCGCUGCCUGCAGUGAAAGGGUUUAAGACAUUCGUCUUUAUUAAUCAUCGGAAGAACUUAACUCUUUGAACUCCAGAGAUGAUUCUCACUUGCUACUUUUUACUCUAAUACAUCAAUUCUACUUGGCGACUGUUUUUAACCGACUUCGAAAAAGGAGGAGGUUGCUCAAUUCGAUCAGUAUAUUUUUUUGUUUCGGUAGUUUCACUUAAUAAUACUUCACGUGUACGAUGUUUUAUACGCAUUAGACGGUACGAAUUAGACGUCCUUCAAUAUAUUGAUUAGAUAAACAGCUUUAGAUUAAUUUCGCCCUACGUAACUGUUUUUUGGGAAAUUCGUUUGCUAAAUGCCUGCGGAUUAAUCUAAACUUAUGUGACCGUUCCUUGACACAUUUGUUCGCUAAGCGCCUACGGAUUAUUCUUACAAUUAGUCGAUUUCACUAUUGCGCUAAUUCGCGCAUAUUUGUUAGACGUGUAUUUUUUGAUUCGGUACGAUUUUUUAUGCGCAUUAGACGGUGUGAAUUAGACGUUAUUCGAUACAUUGAUUAGAUAAACAUCUAUAGAUUAAUUUCAGCCUACGUGUAAUAAUAGGCCAAAUGUAGUAGAAUUCCGCUACAUUGAGUGAGAAGUGGGAAAUAAAGAACUAAAGAAAAUAGAAUAAAGAAUAGUUCACUAAUUGAUGGUAAAUGAGCAGUAGUUUUUCGACUGGAAAAAGCUACAGCUUGAAAUGAAUCAGCGACGUGACAAUCACUCUCUUCUAUUUCUCUAACGCGCCUCUGUCUAACAGUACAAUGUUUAAGAAACUAAUAUUUCGUGAGAUCUAUUACUCAUAUACAUGAUUUAUAUUAUAGGUUUAACUUUGAAGGAGAAAAAUACAUGGUUGUAAAUUAUUUAUAUCUCUACAUUUCAACAGAAUACUCUGAUUAUUUUUUGUACGAAAUACGUUCAGAAGGACUUUUCCUUGUGCAUACUUCCACUCCAGUUGCUCGGAGUUUCUUGGUGUGUUAUCUGUACAUUGGAAUGUUUUAUUGAAAACCGUGCAGUCUAUUAUUGUGCGUGUUUGAACUGUUUCAUCAACGGCAACCUAUUGCAAAAUGACUUCAAUGCAAUCAAAAGAAUUGAUUGGACGGUGAAGUUUUAACAGCUGUACAUAAUCGAUGAUUUACGAAUUCAAGCAAUAAGAUCACCACUGAAAUAUUUCACUGAGAAUACCAAGACUUUCACAGAAAAGUUGUGUAAAAAUUUUCCAAAACCAUCAAUAGCAUCACAACAUUCAGAAGAUAGAGAAGCAUAAAUCUGACCAAGCACAGAAGAUGAUUCAACUUUGCAUCAGACACACUUUAGAAGAGAACUGAUGGCAAAAAUAAAUUGUUGUGAUGCACCGAUCGCGGCGAGACACGGCACACUGAGAGUUGGAUGCGUGAAUGAAGAAUACUGUAUUGCAAGGGAGAGAGUAAGCUGAGGCGAUGGAGGAAACUUUCGUACCUGUUUAUCGGGAUUCCCUGCUAUGCGCGUGCCGUCCCUCCAACGAUUCGGGAAUCCUGAGGAUGAACAUUCACCCUGGUCACGCGUGCGGACGUGAUGUAUUCAUAAGUAGCGUGUUUCACGUGCAGCAUCUGCAUAAUGAUCGCGGCAAAAUCAACGAGAAGACCGGUAUAGGGUCAAGUUGGCUGACCGAUCAAACCGGAAAUGCGAAUGAGAUCCUCUUGUGAUGCCGUCAGCGACUUCCAACGUUAUCGAGAUAGAAUUCGGUAUUGGAGAGGUAUUCGUUGGAAGAGGUGCAAAUUGUUUCGAAGAAAUGCUUAGCAAUUUUCUUUUUAUUUUGGAAUUUACUUGAAAUGGAGGGAUGGAGGCCUUCGAGGCGAAGACAUUGGCGUAACUAAGAUUGCUCUGAAAAUACAGUAUUACCUUGAUAUCGAGAGUUACCCUCAAUCUCAAAUUCAACAUUAUUAUUUGCUUAGGAAUUGAACUCACCGACCGAUCGUAUAAUGGAAGUGCACAUAAAAAGUCGAUUGUUUUAUUUUAAGUUCCUUUAGUGUACGUCUUCUGUUAUGCGUUUAAUUAUGCAAUCUUCCAAGGUAUAUACAUUGGUAUAGUGACUAAUAGGUGACACUGUUGCAAAACACGGAAAAAUAAGAUUCACAACCAAAUGCAGCAAUUGGUGUAUGAAAUCAUCGAUGACUAUAAUUUUUUUCUGCGCACAAUUGUUUUUAUUUUAUUUUAUAUAUUCCGAUACUUCCAUGGACAAAGAAAAUAGUACAUAUGGUGGACUAUUGUAAAAGAUUAUUGAAUAGGUAAUCGGUAAUGGAAGAUAUCAAUUCGUUCAAAUUGUCUUCGCCUACGACAUGGAUCAUUAAUUCUAUGCUGGUACCGUGAUCUGACGCGCAAAGAAACAUUUUUAUUGUCAUUAGUACAGGCUGCGCAAAUGCAUAGGAAUUUUGCUGCUAGAGGUCAUCGUACAAGGAAGUGAACGGAAACUCGAUCUUGCAAUGAACUCGAUAGAAGUUGCAUUCGCGAAAGAGGACAGAGAAAGCAGAAAGCAGAAGUAUUACGCGAUCGUUGCACAAACGGAAGAGAGACAUUAUUGAAUCGGAAAAGAAAAAGACAGCAAAUUGCUUUGAUAUAUUACCGAUACCAGAUGAAGAUUUCAUUAUGAAGCCUUUGGUGGCGUCACAUGUUAAUUAUAAAUUAAUUGCAGAAUAAAUCACAUCUAAAAAGACACAA